GACGAACGCUGGCGGCGUGCCUAAUACAUGCAAGUCGAACGAACUCUGGUAUUGAUUGGUGCUUGCAUCAUGAUUUACAUUUGAGUGAGUGGCGAACUGGUGAGUAACACGUGGGAAACCUGCCCAGAAGCGGGGGAUAACACCUGGAAACAGAUGCUAAUACCGCAUAACAACUUGGACCGCAUGGUCCGAGUUUGAAAGAUGGCUUCGGCUAUCACUUUUGGAUGGUCCCGCGGCGUAUUAGCUAGAUGGUGGGGUAACGGCUCACCAUGGCAAUGAUACGUAGCCGACCUGAGAGGGUAAUCGGCCACAUUGGGACUGAGACACGGCCCAAACUCCUACGGGAGGCAGCAGUAGGGAAUCUUCCACAAUGGACGAAAGUCUGAUGGAGCAACGCCGCGUGAGUGAAGAAGGGUUUCGGCUCGUAAAACUCUGUUGUUAAAGAAGAACAUAUCUGAGAGUAACUGUUCAGGUAUUGACGGUAUUUAACCAGAAAGCCACGGCUAACUACGUGCCAGCAGCCGCGGUAAUACGUAGGUGGCAAGCGUUGUCCGGAUUUAUUGGGCGUAAAGCGAGCGCAGGCGGUUUUUUAAGUCUGAUGUGAAAGCCUUCGGCUCAACCGAAGAAGUGCAUCGGAAACUGGGAAACUUGAGUGCAGAAGAGGACAGUGGAACUCCAUGUGUAGCGGUGAAAUGCGUAGAUAUAUGGAAGAACACCAGUGGCGAAGGCGGCUGUCUGGUCUGUAACUGACGCUGAGGCUCGAAAGUAUGGGUAGCAAACAGGAUUAGAUACCCUGGUAGUCCAUACCGUAAACGAUGAAUGCUAAGUGUUGGAGGGUUUCCGCCCUUCAGUGCUGCAGCUAACGCAUUAAGCAUUCCGCCUGGGGAGUACGGCCGCAAGGCUGAAACUCAAAGGAAUUGACGGGGGCCCGCACAAGCGGUGGAGCAUGUGGUUUAAUUCGAAGCUACGCGAAGAACCUUACCAGGUCUUGACAUACUAUGCAAAUCUAAGAGAUUAGACGUUCCCUUCGGGGACAUGGAUACAGGUGGUGCAUGGUUGUCGUCAGCUCGUGUCGUGAGAUGUUGGGUUAAGUCCCGCAACGAGCGCAACCCUUAUUAUCAGUUGCCAGCAUUAAGUUGGGCACUCUGGUGAGACUGCCGGUGACAAACCGGAGGAAGGUGGGGAUGACGUCAAAUCAUCAUGCCCCUUAUGACCUGGGCUACACACGUGCUACAAUGGAUGGUACAACGAGUUGCGAACUCGCGAGAGUAAGCUAAUCUCUUAAAGCCAUUCUCAGUUCGGAUUGUAGGCUGCAACUCUCCUACAUGAAGUCGGAAUCGCUAGUAAUCGCGGAUCAGCAUGCCGCGGUGAAUACGUUCCCGGGCCUUGUACACACCGCCCGUCACACCAUGAGAGUUUGUAACACCCAAAGUCGGUGGGGUAACCUUUUAGGAACCAGCCGCCUAAGGUGGGACAGAUGAUUAGGGUG
rnacentral:rRNA from 1 species